rnacentral:tRNA from 1 species
CAUUAAUUAAUGGUAGCAUAUUAGGCUCAUAAUCUAAUUAUGAUGGUUCAAUUCCAUCCAUUAAUAA